UGGAGCUGCAGGAGAAGCUGUGGUGGGCGGAGAAGGACAUGACGGGGCUGAGAGAGGAGGUGCAGAGGGAGAGGAGGAGGAGGAGGGAGGAGGUGCAGGAGGAGCUGUUAGGACUAACCCAGCAGACCGUGGAGGUGGCAAACCUCUACAUGAGCUCCAUGCAGAGUCAGGUGGGUGAGAUACGUGACCUGGUAAAGAACGCGAAGGAGAAGAGGGAUCUCUUCUCUGCUGAAGGAGGAGGUGAAGAGGCUUCAAGAAACUGAGGUAGAGGAAGGAGGACUCUUCCAGGAAACACACACACACAUUAAUGAUUACAUUUCCACACACUUAAUAAAGGUUAAAAAAAAAUCAUAUUUCUUUAUGCUGGAUAUAUGGUGCUGUCUGGUAAAAGUGUACAGUUGCAACCAGGAAUCUGUUUUGUAAAAGCUUGCCCUGUGCUGUGGGUCUUUGUGAUUCCCUUAGUAUAAGACAUACUCAGCUGUAAUGUUGUAAACCUGCCUAGCAACUCAUUACAUGUUCCUUCCGAUGGAGCCUCUCCCUGUGUCUGGUGUUAGUUAGACAUUCUUGCCGGGCUGCAUACAGUUCCUGAUGCUCUUUACACACAGACGCACAGUUUAAGCAUAUAAUCAAACAAAGGCUAGUUUUUCUACAUCAUUCAUAGUUAUGGUUUAACUGCGUACAGUGAUAGAGGUGUGUACACGUGCAGACAUGAAACUUUAGCGCAUGCAAUAAAAGUGAAAGUCACAUUUUUAAA